rnacentral:rRNA from 1 species
AGUGAACGCUGGCGGUAGGCCUAACACAUGCAAGUCGAACGGCAGCACAGUAAGAGCUUGCUCUUACGGGUGGCGAGUGGCGGACGGGUGAGGAAUACAUCGGAAUCUACUUUUUCGUGGGGGAUAACGUAGGGAAACUUACGCUAAUACCGCAUACGACCUACGGGUGAAAGCAGGGGAUCUUCGGACCUUGCGCGAUUGAAUGAGCCGAUGUCGGAUUAGCUAGUUGGCGGGGUAAAGGCCCACCAAGGCGACGAUCCGUAGCUGGUCUGAGAGGAUGAUCAGCCACACUGGAACUGAGACACGGUCCAGACUCCUACGGGAGGCAGCAGUGGGGAAUAUUGGACAAUGGGCGCAAGCCUGAUCCAGCCAUACCGCGUGGGUGAAGAAGGACUUCGGGUUGGAAAGCCCUUUUGUUGGGAAAGAAAAGCAGCAGGUUAAUACCCCGCUGUUCUGACGGUACCCAAAGAAUAAGCACCGGCUAACUUCGUG